rnacentral:sRNA from 1 species
UAGGGAUUGAGGCAUUUGUUGAAGCUCUUUUUUGUUUUUCUCAAAAAAAAGCGACUGCCGAAAGCCCGACCUUUA